rnacentral:rRNA from 1 species
CCAGACUCCUACGGGAGGCAGCAGUGAGGAAUAUUGGUCAAUGGCCGAGAGGCUGAACCAGCCAAGUCGCGUGAGGGAAGACGGCCCUACGGGUUGUAAACCUCUUUUGUCGGGGAGCAAAGCGAGUCACGUGUGCGGUUUGGAGAGUACCCGGAGAAAAAGCAUCGGCUAACUCCGUGCCAGCAGCCGCGGUAAUACGGAGGAUGCGAGCGUUAUCCGGAUUUAUUGGGUUUAAAGGGUGCGUAGGCGGACGCUUAAGUCAGCGGUAAAAUUGCGGGGCUCAACCUCGUCGAGCCGUUGAAACUGGCAGUCUCGAGUUGGAGAGAAGUAUGCGGAAUGCGCGGUGUAGCGGUGAAAUGCAUAGAUAUCGCGCAGAACUCCGAUUGCGAAGGCAGCAUGCCGGCUCCACACUGACGCUGAGGCACGAAAGCGUGGGUAUCGAACAGGAUUAGAUACCCGUGUAUU